rnacentral:tRNA from 1 species
AGAAAAAUAAGCUAAUAUUAAGCUAAUGGACUCAUACUCCAUCAAUGGAAAAAUUCCUUUUUCUA